rnacentral:tRNA from 1 species
GGGACGUAUUGAUAGAGUGGUUCUGUCCGGGGAUUGCAAAUCCCUUGUAUAAGGGUUCGACUCCCUUACGUCCUU